UACGGGGGGAGCAAGCGUUGUUCGGAUUUACUGGCGUAAAGGGCGCGUAGGCGGCCAGUGCAAGUCAGUUGUGAAAUCUCCGAGCUUAACUCGGAAAGGUCAACUGAUACUGCUCGGCUAGAGUGCGGAAGGGGCAACUGGAAUUCGUUGGGUGUAGCGGUGAAAUGCGUAGAUAAUCAAGAGGAACACCUGCGGCGAAGGCGGGUUGCUGGGCCGACACUGACGCUGAGGCGCGAAAGCUAGGGGAGCGAACGGG
rnacentral:rRNA from 1 species